UUGAUCCUGGCUCAGGAUGAACGCUGGCGGCGUGCCUAACACAUGCAAGUCGAACGAAGCGUGCGGAUGGAAUUUCUUCGGAGAGGAAGCCUGCAUGACUGAGUGGCGGACGGGUGAGUAACGCGUGGGCAACCUGCCCUGCACAGGGGGACAACAGCCGGAAACGGCUGCUAAUACCGCAUAAGCGCACAGCUUCGCAUGGAGCGGUGUGAAAAGCUGCGGCGGUGCAGGAUGGGCCCGCGUCUGAUUAGCUGGUUGGCGGGGCAACGGCCCACCAAGGCGACGAUCAGUAGCCGGCCUGAGAGGGUGGACGGCCACAUUGGGACUGAGACACGGCCCAGACUCCUACGGGAGGCAGCAGUGGGGAAUAUUGCACAAUGGGGGAAACCCUGAUGCAGCGACGCCGCGUGAGCGAAGAAGUAUUUCGGUAUGUAAAGCUCUAUCAGCAGGGAAGAAAUUGACGGUACCUGAGUAAGAAGCUCCGGCUAAAUACGUGCCAGCAGCCGCGGUAAUACGUAUGGAGCAAGCGUUAUCCGGAUUUACUGGGUGUAAAGGGAGCGUANGCGGCCUGCCAAGUCUGAUGUGAAAUACCGGGGCUCAACCCCGGGGCUGCAUUGGAAACUGGCAGGCUGGAGUGUCNGAGAGGCANGCGGAAUUCCUAGUGUAGCGGUGAAAUGCGUANAUAUUANGAGGAACACCAGUGGC
rnacentral:rRNA from 1 species